AGGACGAACGCUGGCGGCGUGCUUAACACAUGCAAGUCGAACGAAGCAGCAGUGAAGGAGGCUUCGGCCAAUGGAUCUGUUGACUUAGUGGCGGACGGGUGAGUAACGCGUGAGCAACCUGCCUUUCAGAGGGGGAUAACGUUUGGAAACGAACGCUAAUACCGCAUGAUGUACCUUUGCUGCAUGACAGAGGUACCAAAGGAGCAAUCCGCUGAAAGAUGGGCUCGCGUCCGAUUAGAUAGUUGGUGGGGUAACGGCCUACCAAGUCGACGAUCGGUAGCCGGACUGAGAGGUUGAACGGCCACAUUGGGACUGAGACACGGCCCAGACUCCUACGGGAGGCAGCAGUGGGGAAUAUUGCACAAUGGGCGAAAGCCUGAUGCAGCAACGCCGCGUGAGGGAAGACGGUUUUCGGAUUGUAAACCUUUGUCCUUGGUGAAGAUCAUGACGGUAGCCGAGGAGGAAGCCACGGCUAACUACGUGCCAGCAGCCGC
rnacentral:rRNA from 1 species